rnacentral:rRNA from 1 species
GAUGAACGCUGGCGGCGUGCCUAAUACAUGCAAGUCGAGCGAACAGAUGAGGAGCUUGCUCCUCUGACGUUAGCGGCGGACGGGUGAGUAACACGUGGAUAACCUACCUAUAAGACUGGGAUAACUUCGGGAAACCGGAGCUAAUACCGGAUAAUAUAUUGAACCGCAUGGUUCAAUAGUGAAAGACGGUUUUGCUGUCACUUAUAGAUGGAUCCGCGCCGCAUUAUCUAGUUGGUAAGGUAACGGCUUACCAAGGCAACGAUGCGUAGCCGACCUGAGAGGGUGAUCGGCCACACUGGAACUGAGACACGGUCCAGACUCCUACGGGAGGCAGCAGUAGGGAAGCUUCCGCAAUGGGCGAAAGCCUGACGGAGCAACGCCGAGUGAGUGAUGAAGGUCUUCGGAUCGUAAAACUCUGUUAUUAGGGAAGAACAAAUGUGUAAGUAACUAUGCACGUCUUGACGGUACCUAAUCAGAAAGCCACGGCUAACUACGUG